CCCUUAGAUGUUCUGGGCCGCACGCGCGCUACACUGAUGCAUGCAACGAGUUCUAUCCUUGGCCGGAAGGCCUGGGUAAUCUGUGAACGUGCAUCGUGAUAGGGAUAGAUUAUUGCAAUUAUUAAUCUUGAACGAGGAAUUCCUAGUAAACGCAAGUCAUCAGCUUGCAUUGAUUACGUCCCUGCCCUUUGUACACACCGCCCGUCGCACCUACCGAUCGAAGGUAAUGAUGAGCCCUCAGGAUUGUGGCCUCGUCGUGUCAGCGUCUUGGCUGCGAGAAUCUGUGCAAAUCCCUACCUUUAGAGGAAGGUGAAGUCGUAACA
rnacentral:rRNA from 1 species